rnacentral:rRNA from 1 species
CCAGACUCCUACGGGAGGCAGCAGUGGGGGAUAUUGCACAAUGGGGGGAACCCUGAUGCAGCGACGCCGCGUGGGUGAAGAAGCGCCUCGGCGCGUAAAGCCCUGUCAGCAGGGAAGAAAAUGACGGUACCUGAAGAAGAAGCCCCGGCUAACUACGUGCCAGCAGCCGCGGUAAUACGUAGGGGGCAAGCGUUAUCCGGAUUUACUGGGUGUAAAGGGAGCGUAGACGGCUGUGCAAGUCAGAAGUGAAAGCCCGGGGCUCAACCCCGGGACUGCUUUUGAAACUGCGUGGCUGGAGUGCAGGAGAGGUAAGCGGAAUUCCUGGUGUAGCGGUGAAAUGCGUAGAUAUCAGGAGGAACACCAGUGGCGAAGGCGGCUUACUGGACUGUAACUGACGUUGAGGCUCGAAAGCGUGGGGAGCAAACAGGAUUAGAUACCCUGGUACU